UACACAUGCAGUCGAACGAUGAUGCCCAGCUUGCUGGGCGGAUUAGUGGCGAACGGGUGAGUAAUACGUGAGUAACCUGCCCUUGACUCUGGGAUAAGCCUGGGAAACUGGGUCUAAUACUGGAUACUACCUCUUACCGCAUGGUGGGUGGUGGAAAGGGUUUUACUGGUUUUGGAUGGGCUCACGGCCUAUCAGCUUGUUGGUGGGGUAAUGGCUCACCAAGGCGACGACGGGUAGCCGGCCUGAGAGGGUGACCGGCCACACUGGGACUGAGACACGGCCCAGACUCCUACGGGAGGCAGCAGUGGGGAAUAUUGCACAAUGGGCGGAAGCCUGAUGCAGCGACGCCGCGUGAGGGAUGACGGCCUUCGGGUUGUAAACCUCUUUCAGUAGGGAAGAAGCGAGAGUGACGGUACCUGCAGAAGAAGCGCCGGCUAACUACGUGCCAGCAGCCGCGGUAAUACGUAGGGCGCAAGCGUUGUCCGGAAUUAUUGGGCGUAAAGAGCUCGUAGGCGGUUUGUCGCGUCUGCUGUGAAAGCCCGGGGCUCAACCCCGGGUCUGCAGUGGGUACGGGCAGACUAGAGUGCAGUAGGGGAGACUGGAAUUCCUGGUGUAGCGGUGAAAUGCGCAGAUAUCAGGAGGAACACCGAUGGCGAAGGCAGGUCUCUGGGCUGUUACUGACGCUGAGGAGCGAAAGCAUGGGGAGCGAACAG
rnacentral:rRNA from 1 species